UGGGGAAUCUUCCACAAUGGGCGAAAGCCUGAUGGAGCGACGCCGCGUGAGAGAAGAAGGCCUUCGGGUUGUAAAUCUCUGUCUUCAGGGAAGAAUGUAUCUUAUGUGAAUAAUGUGAGAUAAUGACGGUACCUGAGGAGGAAGCCACGGCUAACUACGUGCCAGCAGCCGCGGUAAUACGUAGGUGGCAAGCGUUGUCCGGAAUUAUUGGGCGUAAAGCGCGCGCAGGUGGGUGUAUAAGUCUUCUUUAAAAGUUCCGGGCUCAACCCGGUGAUGGGGGAGAAACUGUAUACCUUGAGUGCAGGAGGGGCAGGCGGAAUUCCCAGUGUAGCGGUGAAAUGCGUAGAUAUUGGGAGGAACACCAGUGGCGAAGGCGGCCUGCUGGACUGUAACUGACACU
rnacentral:rRNA from 1 species